AAAUUAUUUAAAAUAUACGGUAUUUACGGUAUAUUUUUAACAUAAGUUGGAUUUCGGUAUAUUUUUGAGGAUCGUGCGGUAUAAAUUAUCAGCGGUCACUCUGAGCGGCAGUUCGGCGCGUUUUUCUGUUAAAUUUUCGUUUCGCGUUCAAUUGUGCUUAAAUUUCGUGUUUUGUGAAUUUAAACAAGUGGAAAUGUCUCUACCAAUGUCGUUUGAGAGGGAGGUAUUAGAGUACCAGACUGUUUGGGAGUUCUUGAAGAAAAUAAAAAUGGAAUCCGUGUUUGAGGACUUGAAAGGUAAGCGACAAGACAACCCAUUUUUGCACACAUUUGUACAUGCGCUUAUAAUGUUAGCCUAUCUCUCCAUCUCUACGCAUUAUAUCCAUACACAUAAUUGUAUCCACAAUUGAUCAUGUCCAAUCCGCAACCCUAAAAACGCGGGCUUUACAGUUAAAGUGCUCACAACAAUGCACACAUGCAUGCAUUUUUAGAUGUAUGCACGUUUUAUUUUGCUUGCGGAUCUACUCAUUUUGUAACUGUUCUUUUCUGUUUUGUCUUUCUUGUAAUACUCGUUAAGAUAGAUCAAUAUUUACGUAUGUAUGUAGGUACAUAAAUAUAUGUACAUAUGUAAUUUCGGCAUGUCGAAUUUAAAGUACGCAUUGAUUAAAGAAUGUAUAAAUGUUUCUAUGCAUCUAGUAUGUGUGUUUUGGAUGAAAGUCGAAAUUAUAUGAGCACAUUUCAAGUCAACGUUUGCUAAACAUUUUAUAACAGCGCGUUCGCUUUUACUUGUAUGCAUGCAUGUUUUGUGUGUGUAUGCAGAUGCGUAGCCCGCUUAUACCCAUGGGUUAGAAGAGCUCGAAUGCAUGUUGAUUUCGAGUGGGGAGGAGAUUCAUAAUUGAUGUACGAAGUGUACAUGUUUAUGUACAUCAACAUAUUCACAAAUGUAUGUAAUUACUUCUUCGCUCUUAUGAUCUUUGUUUUACGUCCUGUAGUCGAACUUUCAAGUAUUUGUUGAAGUUAAUUUCAAUUCUUAUAUCUAUCUGUGACUCUCUUUCAGCGUAAAUUUGAUUGAAAAUUAGUAGAAAAAACUGUAAAUUCAAACCCUGUAAAAGUAGCUAGAACCAAAAAAAAAAGUUCAAUUCCAAAUAUACCCAAUUUACAGCUGCUGAAGCAACAUACGACUGCUUGAAGUUUAUGAUCCCUGAGGAUGUCAGAGACACCAUUCGUAAAGUAGGCCCUCGUGCCAAAUUCCGUGAAAGAAUUUUGAGGAUGCAACGGACAGAGGUAAAUAAAUGUAGGUACACAUAUACAGAGACCUAUGUACACAUAAACAAACAUCUGAGACUCACAUGUACAAUACAUUCCAUUUUUUUGAUUACAGUUUGGAAGCAUUAAGCAUACACGGACUUUAGAGUACAAAACAAAGUAAUUAAAUUAUUUGUACACACACUUUGACUUUUGACUCACACUUUUGCAUUGUUUAGAAUUUGGACCAACUUAUUAAUCGCUCUCCUGAGGGACUGACUGACUGUGUUUCAGUCUUUCAAAACUAAACUCUCGUUAGCACAAACAUUAAGCACUUUACUUGACGAAAUAGUAACUGUAUUUCCAACUGAAGAAUCCAGGAAGGUAAUUCCGUUUGUGCAAUUUGGGCAUUGAUUUAUUUUCUUACAAAAUUUGCGUUCUCUUCCUUUUUUUUUUUUAGAUUUUUUGGCCCGGAUGGAGCUCCAAAGCAUUUGCAUAACGAUACAGUUCGUUAUUCCUAAAUAAUUUAUCACAACAAUUAAAAAAUAUACAUACGUAAAAUAACAUUUAAUCUCGUAAAUGAUUUGAGAAUAUCGUUUCAAAAGAAAUUUGAAUUUGAUUCAUGCUUUAUGUGGGGAAAUUUUUAUCUCUGUAAAGAGCGAGCCUAGUAAAGCGAGUAAAGUUUGAUUUGAUGUUUAUUAAACUAAUGUUGCAUUAUACAUAUCUUGCACUUUUAA
rnacentral:lncRNA from 1 species